AGGAAGGAGUGAAAAUCACAUCCUAAGUGAGGCUCACUAUUCUCCUCGUUCUCCCAUGCACCUUCCUUGAAGGAGGGAAAGACAUAAGGCAUACGAUCCAUCUACAUAGCAAAAAACAAAGUCGUUGUCCAUGCAUAUCCUUGAUAACGAAAUAUGUAGGUCCUUAGAGAAGCCUCCAAAGCUGUCAGACUAUGACGAAACCAGGGAUCAUGACGAACAUGUCGAGCACGAGAUAACCAGUUAUACUACUUCCACACCAAUGGAGUCGUGAAAUGAAAUCUCUUUGCAUUAACCCUCACUGGAUCUGCCAUGACAUGGUACAAAACUCUCCCAGAUGAUGGUAUACACUCAUUGAAAGAUCUACACGAUGCCUUCACUGCCCAAUUCACUACUAGAAAAUGACAUCCUACAACCAUGGCAUCACUCAAUAGAAUCACACAUGGGAAGAAAUAAACCCAAUGUGAAUACAUAGAAAAAUUCAAAAAAGUUGUCGUAGUAGUAGAUGAACUGAACAACAUGUUAAAGUGAUGGAUAUUUAAUAAAGGUCUGAGACCAGAUUGCAUGUUUUGGGAAAAGCUAGGGCAUGGGGGAGCCUGCACCUUGAGUGACUUAUUGAACAUGGUAUGACUGUAUAUGAAUUGUACAUAAGAUGUCUUGGAGGAAGAAAGUGAGAAAGGUUGGGAGUCGAGGUUCCAGAUACAACCGAGUUUCGCAGAGGGACAAUAAAAAUCGAAGAGAUGACAAAGAGUGAGGAUUUCAAACAAAGUUCCCAUUCUACACUCCUUUAAAUACUUCAAGGGAGAUGAUCUGACAUGAUUGCACCAACAUUAAUUUUAAGGAGGCCAAAAUCAAGCAACCUUAUCCGAUUAUAGAAUCUCCCAAGACGGACAAGUCUAAAUACCACCAUUUCCAUAAGAGUCAAGACCAUAAUAUAAAAAAUUUCAUUCACCUAAAGAUGCAAUCAAAUAGCUGAUUAAGAAGGGGAAUCUGUCCGAGUACACUUGGGAAGUUGGCAUAAGAGAUAAUCGAGAGAAGAUGAGAGAGAUUGUAGAUCAGAAAGAGCCACCAAGAAAGAAACAGUUCCUCGACGAGAGAAGUCAUCCCCUAAGAAAGUCAUCGAAGUUGUGUCCUAAGUUAGGGGAAAAGGGGCAACAUCAGUAAAGAGGAAGAAUACUAGAGGGGGAAGCAUCAAUACAUUGCAUAUGUCACAGGUGGCCUUCCAAGGCCGAAUAACCCUUCUAAGGACACCGCCAAAAGAAAAAUUACUGAAUUGAUGGAUUCAGUAAGAAAGAAGGAGAAAAUUUAGCCAUAAAGAUAGAAAUACCUAAUUUGGGGUUUCUGGAUAGCGAGAAAGUGGUGGGAAUCCCUAAUGACUUCUUUCCUCUAGUGAUAAUGGUCACCAUGGCCAAUUGUGACGACAAUAGAUCCUAUGGUAUCAUGUAUGCAGAGAUCUUUGAAAAUCUAGGGUUGAAGAAAGAAAAUCUAUGGCCAUAUAACGGAUCCAAAUUGAAAAUUUUAGAUUCGACCUAAGAGAGGGGUGGGGGUGANGGAUUUUUUCUAGUUUAAGCGCUGAUUUUUGAAUUAUUUUGCUGGAAACAUAUUUAGGAUUGUUUAAGUUGUUCAUAAAUUAUCCUAAUUUAUGUGCUAGAAAGUAAAGUACAUAAUGUAAACUAACACAAAUAUUCAUCUCAAUUCUCCUUGCCAAUACCUCUAUCUCCUUAGAGGAUUUUCCAUUAUGAUAAAAUGCUCUUUACAAGUCUCAUACCAAGCACUCUAAAUGUUGUUCCUUUUUGGGUUGAUUGCAUUAUGAAAAACAACAUUGCAUAUUCAAGUUGUUUUUGUGAAGAAAGGACACAUGUAAGAAUAGAUGUCACAACAUGUGUGCAACAUCUCAC
rnacentral:lncRNA from 1 species